rnacentral:ncRNA from 10 species
AGAAUUAUAGCUUAAUCUGGUAAAGCAGUCCACUCAUAAUGGACCUAUCAAAGUUCAAUUCUUUGUUAUUCUA